AACGAACGCUGGCGGCAUGCCUAACACAUGCAAGUCGAACGAGACCUUCGGGUCUAGUGGCGCACGGGUGCGUAACGCGUGGGAACCUGCCCUUAGGUUCGGAAUAACUCCCCGACAGGGGUGCUAAUACCAGAUAAUGUCUUCGGACCAAAGAUUUAUCGCCUUUGGAUGGGCCCGCGUUGGAUUAGCUCGUUGGUAGGGUAAAAGCCUACCAAGGCGACGAUCCAUAGCUGGUCUGAGAGGAUGAUCAGCCACACUGGGACUGAGACACGGCCCAGACUCCUACGGGAGGCAGCAGUGGGGAAUAUUGGAAAAUGGGCGAAAGCCUGAUCCAGCAAUGCCGGGUGAGUGAUGAAGGCCUUAGGGUUGUAAAGCUCUUUUACCCGGGAUGAUAAUGACAGUACCGGGAGAAUAAGCCCCGGCUAACUCCGUG
rnacentral:rRNA from 1 species